UUAAACAACAACUUGAACAAAAAGUCAAUGAAAUAGUAGCAGAAGACUGGACAAUUGAUACCAUUAAAAAUUCCCACUACACCAAGUACAAAUUCACAAGUGAAUUAAUGUCUUCAAUAUUCACUAAUGAAUAUUUAAAAACGCACAAACGAUCUGGCAAAGGCGGAAAACCAGGAGCAAUCCAGCGGGAAAUCAUGAACCCGACAUACGUAGAAGAAAUAACAAAAUACCUGAUUCACGCCUGGCGCAAUUUAAAAGGAUCCACCCCUAAGAUCAGAGUUGAAACGAGCGCGC
rnacentral:lncRNA from 1 species